UUGUGGCCUGACCCAGGGGGGUAUGAGCGCUCGGCCUGUGGAGACAGAUGAAGGAAAGCAUGACACUAGAACGCCUGAGAAGGAUGCUUACUGGAGCCAGCUCCCAGGCCCAAAACCCUGACCCUCCCAGCUCUGGACAGAUAGCUUCCAGCUCCCUCCUGCCUUCCAGGAAGGAAGCCCACAUGAGGGAGAUCUACAGCCACACACAGAGCCCCGGCACGGGCCCAGAGAACACUGUAUCCCACCCAAGCUGGGAAGCAGGUGGCUGUAAGGCUAGGACACUGAGGUGUCCAGGCCCUCCUUCCCCAGCAGAAUCCCCUAGCACAAGCUGCAAGCUUGCUGGGGGAUCCCUUGCCCGCUUGAGCCGCCAGCGGGAAGCCAGGAUGCCUUUCUCCAAGUUCCUGGAUGAGGUCACUGUUCGCGUGCUAGACCCAGUGACCCUGGAGGGCUUCAGGGGCUCCCAAGGCCACAGCCAGGAGCCCUCUCCAGGUGACCACAGCUCCGGGCCAGCCCAGGAAGCCCAGGCCAGAGCCACCGCUUCAGAGGAGAAGGACCUGUCUCAGAGUCCCUGGCAUUCCUUGGAAGCCACAGGCAUCAGGGGCCUGGACAGCUGCGAGCAGGGAGAUCCAGCACGUUUCCCCAGCCUGAGCGGGGUGAGUCCCAAUCUUAUGCCCCAUUUCCCAGCAUGAGCCUGUCUGACCCUCCCUCAUCAUACUAUUCUUUUGUGAUUUGUAUGAAAGAAGACCAUAAACACCCCAAGCAUGAAUCACUAAGGUGAAAGUUUCGGCCCUGAUUUCAGAGUAGCAAACUAGGUCUGGGAUCUGAGGAAGCAGUCCUGGUAACAGUAGUAGACGCAUUGCUGGGUCGACCAAGCUUCCUCGGAUCACCACAGGCUCCUGAAGAUACCCUUUGUACCAAGGACAGUGCUCAUUCUAUAGUUCUGGUCCCUUCUCUGUGGACUCAGCAAAGUACUAUAGCUACCAGGACAGUCCGAGGUCUAGGAAGAGGUCUAUGUUCUUAUUGUCUCAUCCUGCUCUAAGCUCCCAGAUGGCCUUCCUCAUUCUGUAUUCCUGUGUGUAGGGAAGGACACUGCGGAACCCACCCUCAUGGCCUCCAAGUGGCCUGCCUGCAGAGCCAGUCCUGGGGUGGGACAUGGGCUUCUCUGCUUCUUAGAAGUCCCUAGAGCCUCCCCAGAGUCCACCAGGGCCAGCUGCCUUCUGUGUGACAGGGACCCCCACUGUCCACAGCCCUGGGCUCUGUAUACAUUACACCUCCACCCUCCACGCCCUGCUUCUCAGGACCGGCAGGCUCUGGAGGAGUUGCUGACACCCAGGCCUCUCUGGAAGGCUUUGUCCCAAGGCUCUAAUUACAACCUUCGGGGUGGCACAUGGAGAGAGGUUGUAGCCGAGAGUCUUGGGGACCUGUUAGGCUAGGGGUGCAUGGUGGGGUGGGACCAGCCUGGCUCUCAGCAGCUUCUCCAGUGAGGGAGCAGGCACCCGGCAUGUGGUGCUGGGUUUUAGUCUUUCCUCUGCCCUGUCUGCAUGAGUGAGCACAGGUAGAUAAAUGAGAAGUCAGUGUAGACGGUUACAGGAAACCCCAGCUGCUGCAGACUUGGGGCUGAGGCUCACUCAUAACCCAAUGACUUCAAAGCCAAUUUCUGUCUGUCUUUUUUUUUUUUUUUUUAAGAACUAAAGUGUCACAAAGAAAUCAAGAGACACAGAGGCAGUGACAUGGUAGGGUAGGAUUGUGACAAUACGCUCGAUAUUGAGUGACCUAGAGCAAGCGACUCCCAUGGGUUUGGAAAGAGCCUGUCUCUGGGUGCUAGGUGCCUCUGCAGGGCGGCUGCUUCAUGCCCCCAAUCUCUUACCAUGUGGGAAUGUGGGACGGAGUUGCUAGAUCUUCCAAAUUUUUCAGUAGAAGCCAAAAAUAUGGGUUUUAAAAUGUAAACUCUUCCAAUUUUUAAAUGUUGGCUCAAACAUU
rnacentral:lncRNA from 1 species